rnacentral:rRNA from 1 species
UACGGAGGAUGCGAGCGUUAUCCGGAUUUAUUGGGUUUAAAGGGUGCGUAGGCGGAUCGUUAAGUCAGUGGUCAAAUUGAGGGGCUCAACCCCUUCCCGCCAUUGAAACUGGCGAUCUUGAGUGGGAGAGAAGUAUGCGGAAUGCGUGGUGUAGCGGUGAAAUGCAUAGAUAUCACGCAGAACCCCGAUUGCGAAGGCAGCAUGCCGGCUUCCGACUGACGCUGAAGCACGAAAGCGUGGGGAUCGAACAGG